GAGGGCAAGUCUGGUGCCAGCAGCCGCGGUAAUUCCAGCUCCAAUAGCGUAUAUUAAAGUUGUUGCAGUUAAAAAGCUCGUAGUUGAAUUUCGGGGUCAGUAGGUUGGUCAUGCCUCAGGUAUUCACUGGUCUCACUGAUUCCUCCUUCCUGAUGAGCCGUAAUGCCAUUAAUUUGGUGUUGCGAGGAAUCUGGACUGUUACUUUGAAAAA
rnacentral:rRNA from 1 species